AUACAAAAAGUGUUCUUUCCACGCGUGAAGCUAGCGCGUGCCUGCACGCCUUUCGUUGCCAAACCCAGCCCAGGGCAGGAAGCGCAUGCCGCAAGGCUAUAUAAGAGUCAACGUCAACUGCAUGUCGGAAAUUCUGGGAAUGUUUCGUAACGGUAACUGAGCUAGGGUUUUCUGUCUAGGGUUUAUUUUGCAGCAUACCCACAUUGCUCGUGCUGAUCUGAUCGAGAUCAAUAUCAAGAUCUAGAUCAAGACCAAUUUCAGAAAAUCAAUCGGAGCAUGGAGAGGAGCUGCUGAAGCUCAUCUAGUGUGGUUAUAUCUAUAAUUAGUUUCCAUUGAGAAAAAGAAGGUUACCAUGGCAAGGCAGCUCCUUGGGAAUUCUUCUCAGCAGAGGAUCACAAGAGAUGUAGCAAGCACUUACAUUCCAGGAGAUCCUCAAUGCUCCACACGUAAGUGGUACUUCAGUAGACAAGAAAUAGAGGAUCAUUCUCCAUCAAGAAAGGACGGCAUUGAUAUCCCAAGCGAGUUACAUUUGCAGAAGUUAUACUGCUCGUUUCUUCGAGAAUUGGGCAUGACCCUUAAAGUGCCGCAGCUAACAAUAGCAACUGCAAUGAUGUUGUGCCAUCAGUUUUAUAUGCGUCAGUCUCAUGCAAAGAAUGAUUGGCAGACAAUUGCAACUGUAUGCAUGUUUCUUGCUUGCAAAGUGGAAGAAACGCCACGCUUACUGAGAGAUGUUGUUGUUGUGGCUUAUGAGAGAACUUACAAAUGGGAUCCUUCCGCCCCACAAAGAAUUAGACAAAGGGAAGUUUAUGACAAGCAGAAGCAAUUAAUUUUAACUGGGGAGAGGCUGUUAUUGGCUACUGUUGCCUUUGAUCUAAAUAUACAACACCCGUACAAGCCCCUUGUUGCUGCUGUGAAGAGAUUAGGGAUUUCACACAAUGAUCUUGUCAAAGUGGCAUGGAAUUUUGUGAAUGAUUGGCUUUGCACGACUUUGUGCUUGCAGUACAAACCCCAUUAUAUUGCAGCUGGUUCCCUGUUCCUUGCAGCCAAAUUUCACAAGGUCAAGCUACCUGCAGAGAAGGGAAAGGUUUGGUGGCUGGAGUUCGAUGUUUCACCUAAACAACUAGAAGAGGUCAUCCAGCAGAUGCUCAAGUUUUUGGAGAAGAACAGAAAACUGCCUCUACCUGGUCAUGCAAGGGUAACUGAAUCUGCAGCUAUGGUGAAAAAAGCAAUGUCCAAUAGUCCCCAGUCAUGCAUUUUGAAUGGGUCAAUUAUUUCUCAGGACUAUGGAGUUGCAUUGCGAACUGGUAGUCCUGGAAAAUCAACAAUGUCAAAGUGCAGCCUGAACAUGAUCCGUGGUCACAAUCAUACCACUGUAAAAGAAGUACUAGAAUGUCAAACAAGUGACUCUAGCACAAGUAGUGUUGUUGAGGAUGGUGAAGGUGGGCUGCAGCUAAGAAUAAAAUCUGAUCAGAGCUCAGCUUAUAAUGUGGUUAAUGUUCUUGGACGCUACAGUGAGCCAGAUGUAAAUUGGGCUUCUUUGGAGUCCUCAAAGGUGAGGAGAUGCGAAAGAGCUGCUGGAAAGAAUUUGGCGGAAGCUGUGGAUGAUGAGAAUGGUGAUGCCUGGAUUGAGAGAGAAUUGGAAAACAGAAUAGAGCUGGGAUCGGCCUAUGCCAAAAAGAAACGGAGGGUAUUGUGAUCCCUUGAACCCAAAAUUGGCGUAUCAGAGCUGGGAUCGGCCUAUGCCAAAAAGAAACGGAGGGUAUUGUGAUCCCUUGAACCCAAAAUUGGCGUAUCAUUGACUUAUGAUAAAACUUCUUUCUCCACUUCAUGUUUGUGUUGGAAUGAUCUUCAUCUCGAAUAUGGGAUUUCGCCAAACUGUUGCACUUUGAAGAUGACUUGAUGAAGCACGAUCUAGCUAUUUAUGGGAAACACGAAAAAAGAGAUGUGAAUUCAUAGACAGAUGUGGUUGCAUAUGAGUCAACUCCACGCUAGAGAGGUUGCCCUUAUAAAUGGAGUGGAAGUGGCAUGUGCCGUUUGAUUGACAACUUGAUCGAUACUGUUAUGUCUUCACCUUGAAGGGGAAAGUCGAAGCCCAAACAAAGGCAAAAAGGGAGCAACUCAACCUUGAGAGAAGAAAUGAUGUAUAUAAAGUUAGUUUCUAGUGAAGCAACUCAACGUUCUACAUUAUUUUUGACCAUCAUAAGCCACUAGGGUUGGAGUUGAUACAAUGUGUGAGAUCUAACACUCGUACCUUUUCUUGGUUAGCUAUGAACAUGUCAAGGCAUAGACCUGAUAGUCAUAAGUACAAGUUCAAAAUGGAUCCAGAACUUUCAAAUACCAAGUUGGAUACACGUCAUUAGUUAGAAGGUCGAUUUGAUCAAAACAUUAUUUUUUUAAUGAGUGGAUUGCCCUAA